GGGGGUGUAGCUCAGCUGGGAGAGCGCCUGCUUUGCAAGCAGGAUGUCAUCGG
rnacentral:tRNA from 1 species